rnacentral:rRNA from 1 species
UACGUAGGGCGCAAGCGUUAUCCGGAAUUAUUGGGCGUAAAGGGCGCGUAGGCGGCCGGCCAAGUCGGGGGUGAAAGCCUGUGGCUCAACCACAGAAUGGCCCUCGAUACUGGCUGGCUCGAGACCGGAAGAGGUUGGUGGAAUUGCGAGUGUAGAGGUGAAAUUCGUAGAUAUUCGCAAGAACACCGGUGGCGAAGGCGGCCAACUGGUCCGGAUCUGACGCUGAGGCGCGAAAGCGUGGGGAGCAAACAGG